rnacentral:rRNA from 1 species
CAGUAGCCGCGGUAAGACGAACCGUGCGAACGUUAUUCGGAAUCACUGGGCUUAAAGCGCGUGUAGGCGGGACGGCACGUCGACUGCUGAAAUCCCUCGGCUUAACCGAGGAAGUGGCAUCGAUACGACCGUCCUGGAGGAACGUAGGGGCAGAGGGAAUUUCCGGUGGAGCGGUGAAAUGCGUUGAGAUCAGAAAGGACACCAACGGCGAAAGCACUCUGUUGGGCUGACACUGACACUGAGAGACGAAAGCUAGGGGAGCAAAUGGGAUUAGAUACCCGCGUAGUCCCUGUCUCUUAUU